AGAGUUUGAUCAUGGCUCAGAACGAACGCUGGCGGCGUGGAUAAGACAUGCAAGUCGAACGGGCUUAAUUUCGGAGCAAUUCGAGAUUGAGCCAGUGGCGAACGGGUGCGUAACACGUGAGUCAUCUGCCCAAAAGUGGGGGAUAGCUCGCCGAAAGGCGAAUUAAUACCGCAUAUGCCCCGAAGCAAUUCGGGGUAAAGCCGGGGCAACCUGGCGCUUUUAGAGGAACUCGCGGCCUAUCAGCUUGUUGGUGAGGUAACGGCUUACCAAGGCAUCGACGGGUAGCUGGUCUGAGAGGACGACCAGCCACACUGGAACUGAGACACGGUCCAGACACCUACGGGUGGCAGCAGUCGAGAAUUUUUCUCAAUGGGGGAAACCCUGAAGGAGCGACGCCGCGUGGAGGAUGAAUGCUUUCGGGUUGUAAACUCCUGUCAUUUGGGAACAAAGCCUUACGUUAACUGCGUGGAGGUUUGAUAGUACCGAAAGAGGAAGAGACGGCUAACUCUGUGCCAGCAGCCGCGGUAAUACAGAGGUCUCAAGCGUUGUUCGGAUUCAUUGGGCGUAAAGGGCGCGUAGGCGGCGGGGUAAGUCGGGUGUGAAAUCUCAGAGCUCAACUCUGAAACUGCACUCGAUACUGCUCUGCUUGAGGACUGGAGAGGAGACUGGAAUUCACGGUGUAGCAGUGAAAUGCGUAGAUAUCGUGAGGAAGACCAGUGGCGAAGGCGGGUCUCUGGACAGUUCCUGACGCUGAGGCGCGAAGGCCAGGGGAGCAAACGGGAUUAGAUACCCCUGUAGUCC
rnacentral:rRNA from 1 species